UACGUAGGGUGCGAGCGUUAAUCGGAUUUACUGGGCGUAAAGCGUGCGCAGGCGGCCCGUUAAGACAGGUGUGAAAUCCCUGGGCUCAACCUAGGAAUUGCGCUUGUGACUGGCGGGCUCGAGUACGGUAGAGGGGGGUGGAAUUCCUGGUGUAGCAGUGAAAUGCGUAGAGAUCAGGAGGAACACCGAUGGCGACGGCAGCCCCCUGGGCCUGUACUGACGCUCAUGCACGAAAGCGUGGGGAGCAAACAGG
rnacentral:rRNA from 1 species